rnacentral:sRNA from 1 species
AGUGUUUCUGGCGGUGGCUGAACUCUAAGAAAGGAGUGAUGCUGCUAUGUUCAUCCUAGGAAAGGAACACCCGCCAUGACUGUGUAUCAGGCGUUGACAUUGGCAAUUGCCUUUGCCACCUUGAUCAUUACCCUUGAUCGACA